GAUGAACGCUGGCGGCGUGCCUAACACAUGCAAGUCGAACGAAGCACCUUACCUGAUUCUUCGGAUGAAAGUUUGGUGACUGAGUGGCGGACGGGUGAGUAACGCGUGGGUAACCUGCCCUGUACAGGGGGAUAACAGCUGGAAACGGCUGCUAAUACCGCAUAAGCGCACGAGGAGACAUCUCCUUGUGUGAAAAACUCCGGUGGUACAGGAUGGGCCCGCGUCUGCUUAGCUGGUUGGCAGGGUAACGGCCUACCAAGGCAACGAUCAGUAGCCGGUCUGAGAGGAUGAACGGCCACAUUGGAACUGAGACACGGUCCAAACUCCUACGGGAGGCAGCAGUGGGGAAUAUUGCACAAUGGGGGAAACCCUGAUGCAGCAACGCCGCGUGAGUGAAGAAGUAUUUCGGUAUGUAAAGCUCUAUCAGCAGGGAAGAUAAUGACGGUACCUGACUAAGAAGCUCCGGCUAAAUACGUG
rnacentral:rRNA from 1 species